rnacentral:tRNA from 1 species
GCGGGUGUGGCGGAAUUGGCAGACGCACUAGACUUAGGAUCUAGCGGGAAACCGUGGGGGUUCGACUCCCUUCACCCGCA